UCCCGGAAUACCCCGCUGGACCAGAACCAGCC
rnacentral:sRNA from 1 species